UAUUAUGUAUACGACGUGUUCGGUUAUGUUUCUCUCAUUCUUUCUUCAAACAUUUUUUUACGUGUCACCUCCGCCGCGACGACCACGUCAUCAACAAGUGCGCGCGGUAAUAAUCGUAAUUUGGUAGCCGUCGUUUGAGUAUUUCGUUUCGUCUUUUUUUUCUCUUCUUCUUCUUAUUUUUUUUUUUUUUUUUUAUGAAUGAAUGAAAUCCAUUACGCGCGCACGCAUACACACACGCACACACACACAGACACGCACACACACAGACGCAUGCAUGAGAUGAACGCAGAGUCAAACAGGUGGACCCGCGGCGGGUUUUCACAAAAGAUGUAUAUAUGGACCUUAAUAGGCGUAGGUGUGUGCGUGGUUGUAUACCGCCGCCACUGCGUAUGGGGGUAGAAGUGCUAGUCGUCGUCGUCGUCUCUGUCGGGUGGAUGUUCGGCCCGAUGAACACAGUCAAUGGGGACCGGGCGCGCACUUGUUUCCGGACGAGCAUUAUAAUAUAAUAUCAUAUUUGCCGGAGUACCGCCUUUAUGUAUAUUAUGUUUUGAGUGCCUCACACAUACCCGAUUACGAGACAGUACGUGUGAAGCGUGAAUUUUUAAUAUUAAUCGUUUUUGUUACUAGUAUCAUCUAAACGUUUUAUUUCAGUUUUUUUUAAAUUUAUCGGCAACAGUGAUCUUGUCAUUUUUACAAACAAGAAUGUUUGUUUUACGGUAUUCACUCGAAAUGGCCAUUCAGCAACCGAUGAUCAUUAUUACACCCUGGUGAUAUUGUUGUUUGCUUUUCUGUAGUUUUAUUUCCCUUUAUUUACCGUACAAAACUGUUGAUUUAACUUUCUACAUUUAUACUGUAUUGUAUUUAACCAUUUGAUGUCAAAUACUAUAACGUAAUCAAAUUGCCUUAGUGUAAUUAUUGUUACAUUGAGUUAUUUAUUGUUAU